rnacentral:rRNA from 1 species
GAUGAACGCUAGCGACAGGCCUAACACAUGCAAGUCGAGGGGUAAGGUCAAGCUUGCUUGAUACACGACCGGCGCACGGGUGCGUAACGCGUAUGCAACCUACCUUAUACCGGGGAAUAGCCCGAAGAAAUUCGGAUUAAUACUCCAUAUUAUUUCUUUUUCGCAUGGAAAAGAGAUCAAAACUCAGGUGGUAUAAGAUGGGCAUGCGUGACAUUAGCCAGUUGGCGGGGUAACGGCCCACCAAAGCUACGAUGUCUAGGGGUUUUGAGAGGAAGGUCCCCCACACUGGUACUGAGACACGGACCAGACUCCUACGGGAGGCAGCAGUGAGGAAUAUUGGUCAAUGGACGCAAGUCUGAACCAGCCAUGUCGCGUGCAGGAAGACAGCCCUAUGGGUUGUAAACUGCUUUUAUACGGGAAGAAA